GAUGAACGCUAGCGGCAGGCCUAACACAUGCAAGUCGAGGGGUAGAGCACUUCGGUGUUUGAGACCGGCGCACGGGUGCGUAACGCGUAUGCAAUCUGCCUUACACUCAGGGAUAGUCCCGAGAAAUUUGGAUUAAUACCUUAUAGUAUAUUCAUGCCGCAUCACAUUAUUAUUAAAAAUUUAUUGGUGUACGAUGAGCCUGCGUCCCAUUAGCUAGUUGGUAUGGUAACGGCAUACCAAGGCAAUGAUGGGUAGGGGUCCUGAGAGGCAGACACCCCAGACUGGUACUGAGACACGGACCAGACUCCUACGGGAGGAAGCAGUGAGGAAUAUUGGACAAUGGGCGCAAGCCUGAUCCAGCCAUGCCGCGUGCAGGAUGAGGCAUCUAUGGUGUGUAAACUGCUUUUGUACGGGAAGAAACACCUCUUCGUGAAGAGGCUUGACGGUACCGUAAGAAUAAGGACCGGCUAACUCCGUGCCAGCAGCCGCAGUAACAC
rnacentral:rRNA from 1 species